GAAUGAAAACCAAGCCCUGAAGGAAUGCAAUGCACAAGCAGCUUUGGAUGACAGCCGCUCACUUAAACAGCAGGUGAAGCAAGUAGGGACAAUGUUGAAGACGUUUGCUCUAACUGGGCAAUCAGGUGCGUUACCUGAAAGGAGCAUCUGA